rnacentral:rRNA from 1 species
UACAGAGGUCCCAAGCGUUGUUCGGAUUCAUUGGGCGUAAAGGGUGCGUAGGUGGCGUCGUAAGUCGGGUGUGAAAUCUCGGGGCUUAACUCCGAAACUGCAUUCGAUACUGCGGUGCUUGAGGACUGGAGAGGAGACUGGAAUUCACGGUGUAGCAGUGAAAUGCGUAGAUAUCGUGAGGAAGACCAGUGGCGAAGGCGGGUCUCUGGACAGUUCCUGACGCUGAGGCGCGAAGGCCAGGGGAGCAAACGGG